CGUCAGUCGCCCGUGCAUAUCGUCGUCUCCAUCCUCUCUUCACGGGAUCGCAGGAUCGACUGUAGGAGCCUCCGCCCCUGCCGCGCUUGCACUGUAACCCCGUUUUUCUCCUUCUUUCUCUCUUCUACACUUGGCGUCCGUCGUUUCAGCUGCAGCGGUGCCAUGGAUCCAGAAACAGUUCUCGAGUCGCUCGCAAGGGAAAAGGGCGUCGUGCUAACGCACCUCUCCGAGAUCAACAGCAAGUACUCACGGUCGGCCAAGGUGGCGUGCUGCGGUGGACUCAUGACGCGCCUAGUGACAGAGAGCGCCGCUGACUCCACGGUGCUCCUGCGUGACGGCAGCGGCUCCUGUUACUGUGCUCUGCACGGGGACAUCACCAACCGCUACCCCGAUGUAUUGACCACCGAUGCGCUUCUGUUCUUCACGGACAUCACAGUCCUGGUCAUCUCUUCCAAGGUGCCGCCGAUGCUGAUUGCGUGCUUACAGAACCUUGCCGGUCUCUUGCUGCCUGAUAAAGCGACGAGUGCCGCUGCUGGUGCUACGGCGUCGAGGAGCGCCGCGGCGGCAGGGACGCGACCCGCGCCGGCGUGCAACCUCCUUGUUCGCGGCUCCGUGCCCCAUAAUGAUGACUCCGCUCGCUCAGACACGUGGCACUCGGAUCCCCUUACCGGUCGCCAAAGAGGAUGCGACGCCGUAGACACGUUCAACGACUUCGAUGGCGCUGGCGACAGCUACAUGGAGCCGCAUGCUUCUGUGGGCGCAGUUCUUUCAGCCCAGCGCACCCUUGAUGGACAGCGUCACGAUAGCGUCCCGGCGGAGAAGAGAGUACGCACAGAGAACACUACUGCAUCAGCUGCCUUCGAGGUAGAUGACGAAGACGAUGCGGAGUGCUUGGAGCUAGUGGAUGGGAUGUGAGGCCGGUGCAGGAGCGGAGUGGGGUGUAUGCGUGCGAGGAUGAGGAGAGGGGCAGAGGCCAUUCUGACGAAGCCUUCUUACCGACUGACCCCAACGCUCCCUCAGCUUUAUGCCUCUUCCUUCCUCUACCGUGGCCUCCGCCGCUCCCCAGAGUCCGAUGAUAUGCCGACACGAGGGCUGAUGUAUCCUCUCUCUUGCUCCACCUGUGUGUUUGUGUGAGGGCUUUUUGAAUUUUUUGUUGUUCAUCAGUGCGAGAAUGCAUGCGCGCUCUUUUUGCACCUCUUGUUGUUGAGGCCACCGCUGCUGCUGGUGCUGCUGCAAGACAAAAGACGAGUAUACGUACAGUAGGCGAACGCAGGUGUGCAUUUUUGGUACCAGUGUCCAUGCUAGGUUCAUAAGGACUGCGAGGAUUACUCCCCUGUGUGGGUGUGCCUGGCCCUUGCCGUCGAAGCGGUCCUCGUUUUCUUUUGUAGCACCGUCACCUCCUGUUCUUCGCUCCUCCUUCAGGCAUACUCGCGUGCCGAUGUCGUAGAACCUGCCCGCGUUUUUCUGUUACCUUCUGUGCGAUGCGCCAACGCCGAGUGUGUGCAAUGCCCCUCGUUGUCGCCCUCUUUUUUCCUUUGCUUCUCUUCGCCCAUCUCUCCCUCCUUCUCUGCCUGUGUUUGUGUGAUACCGGGCGCACCUCACAUCGCUAUGACACGAUCUCCUAUGCUAUCUCACACGUACAUCCUCAUACGCAAAAAAAAAAACGUAUAUGCGCACUACCCUUAUUGUUUCCCUUCGCACCCUUUCACAUGCAG
rnacentral:misc_RNA from 1 species